rnacentral:tRNA from 1 species
GGCGGCGUAGCUCAGCUGGUUAGAGCACGGCACUCAUAAUGCCGGGGUCGGCAGUUCAAGUCUGCCCGCCGCUACCA